rnacentral:rRNA from 1 species
GACGAACGCUGGCGGCGUGCUUAACACAUGCAAGUCGAGCGGUAAGGCCCUUUCGGGGGUACGACGAGCGGCGAACGGGUGAGUAACACGUGGGUGACCUGCCCUCCAGCUCUGGGAUAAGCCUGGGAAACCGGGUCUAAUACUGGAUAUGACUCCAUGACGCAUGUUGUGGGGUGGAAAGCCUUGUGCGGCUGAGGAUGGGCCCGCGGCCUAUCAGCUUGUUGGUGGGGUGAGGCCUACCAAGGCGACGACGGGUAGCCGGCCUGAGAGGGCGACCGGCCACACUGGGACUGAGACACGGCCCAGACUCCUACGGGAGGCAGCAGUGGGGAAGUCUUGCGCAAUGGGCGAAAGCCUGACGCAGCGACGCCGCGUGAGGGAUGACGG